rnacentral:rRNA from 1 species
AUUGAACGCUGGCGGCAGGCCUAACACAUGCAAGUCGAGCGGAGCGGCGGACGGGUGAGUAAUGCCUAGGAAUCUGCCUGGUCGUGGGGGAUAACGUACGGAAACGGGCGCUAAUAUAGCAUCCUUCCAGCUGAGCCUAGGUCGGAUUAGCUAGUUGGUGGGGUAAAGGCCUACCAAGGCGACGAUCCGUAACUGGUCUGAGAGGAUGAUCAGUCACACUGGAACUGAGACACGGUCCAGACUCCUACGUGAGGCAGCAGUAGGGAAUAUUGGACAAUGGGCGAAAGCCUGAUCCAGCCAUGCCGCGUGUGUGAAGAAGGUCUUCGGAUUGUAAAGCACUUUAAGUUGGGAAGCGUUACCAACAGAAUAAGCACCGGCUAACUUCGUGCCAGCAGCCGCGGUAAUUC